rnacentral:rRNA from 1 species
AUUGAACGCUGGCGGCAGGCUUAACACAUGCAAGUCGAGCGGAGAGAGGUAGCUUGCUACUGAUCUUAGCGGCGGACGGGUGAGUAAUGCUUAGGAAUCUGCCUAUUAGUGGGGGACAACAUUUCGAAAGGAAUGCUAAUACCGCAUACGUCCUACGGGAGAAAGCAGGGGACCUUCGGACCUUGCGCUAAUAGAUGAGCCUAAGUCGGAUUUGCUAGUUGGUGGGGUAAAGGCCUACCAAGGCGACGAUCUGUAGCGGGUCUGAGAGGAUGAUCCGCCACACUGGGACUGAGACACGGCCCAGACUCCUACGGGAGGCAGCAGUGGGGAAUAUUGGACAAUGGGCGCAAGCCUGAUCCAGCCAUGCCGCGUGUGUGAAGAAGGCCUUAUGGUUGUAAAGCACUUUAAGCGAGGAGGAGGCUACUUUAGAUAAUACCUAGAGAUAGUGGACGUUACUCGCAGAAUAAGCACCGGCUAACUCUGUGCCAGCCGCCGCCGUAAUAC